GAUGAACGCUGGCGGCGUGCCUAACACAUGCAAGUCGAACGAGAUGCUUAUUGGAAAGCUUCGGCCGGAAGAUAAGUUAUCUAGUGGCGGACGGGUGAGUAACACGUGGGUAACCUGCCUUAUGGAGGGGGAUAACAGAGAGAAAUCACUGCUAAUACCGCAUAAGCACACAGUACCGCAUGGUACAGGGUGAAAAGAUUUAUCGCCAUAAGAUGGACCCGCGUCUGAUUAGCCAGUUGGCAGGGUAAAAGCCUACCAAAGCAACGAUCAGUAGCCGAUCUGAGAGGAUGACCGGCCACAUUGGGACUGAGACACGGCCCAAACUCCUACGGGAGGCAGCAGUGGGGAAUAUUGCACAAUGGGGGAAACCCUGAUGCAGCGACGCCGCGUGAGUGAAGAAGUAUUUCGGUAUGUAAAGCUCUAUCAGCAGGGAAGAUAAUGACAGUACCUGACUAAGAAGCCCCGGCUAACUACGUGCCAGCAGCCGCGGUAAUACGUAGGGGGCAAGCGUUAUCCGGAUUUACUGGGUGUAAAGGGAGCGUAGACGGAAUGGCAAGUCUGAAGUGAAAUACCCGGGCUCAACCUGGGAACUGCUUUGGAAACUGUUGUUCUAGAGUGUUGGAGAGGUAAGUGGAAUUCCUGGUGUAGCGGUGAAAUGCGUAGAUAUCAGGAAGAACACCGGAGGCGAAGGCGGCUUACUGGACAAUAACUGACGUUGAGGCUCGA
rnacentral:rRNA from 1 species